rnacentral:rRNA from 1 species
GGUUAAGCGACUAAGCGUACACGGUGGAUGCCCGGCAGUCAGAGGCGAUGAAGGACGUGCUAAUCUGCGAAAAGCGUCGGUAAGGUGAUAUGAACCGUUACAGCCGGCGAUGUCCGAAUGGGAAACCCAGUGCAAUUCGUUGCACUAUCGUUAACUGAAUACAUAGGUUAACGAGGCGAACCGGGGAACUGAAACAUCUAAGUACCCCGAGGAAAAAAAUCAACCGAGAUUCCCCAGUAGCGGCGAGCGAACGGGGAGCAGCCCAGAGUCUGAAUCAGCUUGUGUGUUAGUGGAACGGUCUGGAAAGUCCGACGGUACAGGGUGAUAGUCCCGUACACCAAAAUGCACAGGCUGUGAACUCGAAGAGUAGGGCGGGACACGUGGUAUCCUGUCUGAAUAUGGGGGACCAUCCUCCAAGGCUAAAUACUCCUGACUGACCGAUAGUGAACCAGUACCGUGAGGGAAAGGCGAAAAGAACCCCGGCGAGGGGUGAAAAAGAACCUGAAACCGUGUACGUACAAGCAGUGGGAGCACCUUCGGGUGUGACUGCGUACCUUUUGUAUAAUGGGUCAGCGACUUAUAUUCUGUAGCAAGGUUAACCGUAUAGGGGAGCCGCAGGGAAACCGAGUCUUAACUGGGCGUUAAGUUGCAGGGUAUAGACCCGAAACCCGGUGAUCUAGCCAUGGGCAGGUUGAAGGUUGGGUAACACUAACUGGAGGACCGAACCGACUAAUGUUGAAAAAUUAGCGGAUGACUUGUGGCUGGGGGUGAAAGGCCAAUCAAACCGGGAGAUAGCUGGUUCUCCCCGAAAGCUAUUUAGGUAGCGCCUCGUGAAUUCAUCUUCGGGGUAGAGCACUGUUUCGGCUAGGGGUCAUCCCGACUUACCAACCCGAUGCAAACUACGAAUACCGAAGAAUGUUAUCACGGGAGACACACGGCGGGUGCUAACGUCCGUCGUGAAGAGGGAAACAACCCAGACCGCCAGCUAAGGUCCCAAAGUCAUGGUUAAGUGGGAAACGAUGUGGGAAGGCACAGACAGCAGGAUGUUGGCUUAGAAGCAGCCAUCAUUUAAAGAAAGCGUAAUAGCUCACUGGUCGAGUCGGCCUGCGCGGAAGAUGUAACGGGGCUAAACCAUGCACCGAAGCUGCGGCAGCGACACUAUGUGUUGUUGGGUAGGGGAGCGUUCUGUAAGCCUGCGAAGGUGACCUGUGAGGGUUGCUGGAGGUAUCAGAAGUGCGAAUGCUGACAUAAGUAACGAUAAAGCGGGUGAAAAGCCCGCUCGCCGGAAGACCAAGGGUUCCUGUCCAACGUUAAUCGGGGCAGGGUGAGUCGACCCCUAAGGCGAGGCCGAAAGGCGUAGUCGAUGGGAAACAGGUUAAUAUUCCUGUACUUGGUGUUACUGCGAAGGGGGACGGAGAAGGCUAUGUUAGCCGGGCGACGGUUGUCCCGGUUUAAGCAUGUAGGCUGGUUAUCGAGGCAAAUCCGGAUAAUCAAGGCUGAGGUGUGAUGACGAGGCACUACGGUGCUGAAGUAACAAAUGCCCUGCUUCCAGGAAAAGCCUCUAAGCAUCAGGUAACAUCAAAUCGUACCCCAAACCGACACAGGUGGUCAGGUAGAGAAUACCAAGGCGCUUGAGAGAACUCGGGUGAAGGAACUAGGCAAAAUGGUGCCGUAACUUCGGGAGAAGGCACGCUGGUGUGUAGGUGAAGUCCCUGCGGAUGGAGCUGAGACCAGUCGAAGAUACCAGCUGGCUGCAACUGUUUAUUAAAAACACAGCACUGUGCAAACACGAAAGUGGACGUAUACGGUGUGACGCCUGCCCGGUGCCGGAAGGUUAAUUGAUGGGGUUAUCCGUAAGGAGAAGCUCUUGAUCGAAGCCCCGGUAAACGGCGGCCGUAACUAUAACGGUCCUAAGGUAGCGAAAUUCCUUGUCGGGUAAGUUCCGACCUGCACGAAUGGCGUAAUGAUGGCCGGGCUGUCUCCACCCGAGACUCAGUGAAAUUGAACUCGCUGUGAAGAUGCAGUGUACCCGCGGCAAGACGGAAAGACCCCGUGAACCUUUACUAUAGCUUGACACUGAACAUUGAGCCUUGAUGUGUAGGAUAGGUGGGAGGCUUUGAAGCGUGGACGCCAGUCUGCGUGGAGCCAACCUUGAAAUACCACCCUUUAAUGUUUGAUGUUCUAACGUUGGCCCCUGACCGGGGUUGCGGACAGUGUCUGGUGGGUAGUUUGACUGGGGCGGUCUCCUCCCAAAGCGUAACGGAGGAGCACGAAGGUUAGCUAAUCUGGUCGGACAUCAGGAGGUUAGUGCAAUGGCAUAAGCUAGCUUGACUGCGAGCGUGACGGCGCGAGCAGGUGCGAAAGCAGGUCAUAGUGAUCCGGUGGUUCUGAAUGGAAGGGCCAUCGCUCAACGGAUAAAAGGUACUCCGGGGAUAACAGGCUGAUACCGCCCAAGAGUUCAUAUCGACGGCGGUGUUUGGCACCUCGAUGUCGGCUCAUCACAUCCUCACGGGGCUGAAGUAGGUCCCAAGGGUAUGGCUGUUCGCCAUUUAAAGUGGUACGCGAGCUGGGUUUAGAACGUCGUGAGACAGUUCGGUCCCUAUCUGCCGUGGGCGCUGGAGAAUUGAGGGGGCUGCUCCUAGUACGAGAGGACCGGAGUGGACGCAUCACUGGUGUUCGGGUUGUCAUGCCAAUGGCACUGCCCGGUAGCUAAAUGCGGAAGAGAUAAGUGCUGAAAGCAUCUAAGCACGAAACUUGCCCCGAGAUGAGUUCUCCCUGAGACUUUAAGUCUCCUGAAGGAACGUUAAAGACGAUGACGUUGAUAGGCCGGGUGUGUAAGCGCAGCGAUGCGUUGAGCUAACCGGUACUAAUGAACCGUGAGGCUUAACCUU